CCUACGGGGGGCAGCAGUGGGGAAUAUUGGGCAAUGGGCGCAAGCCUGACCCAGCAACGCCGCGUGAAGGAAGAAGGCUUUCGGGUUGUAAACUUCUUUUAAGCGGGAAGCGCAGAAGACGGUACCUCUUGAAUAAGCCACUGCUAACUACGUGCCAACAGCCGCGGUCAUACGUAGGUGGCACGCGUUUUCCGGAUUUACUGGGUGUAAAGGGCGUGCAGCCGGGAAGACAAGGCAGAGGUGAAAUCCCGCGGCUCAACCGCGGAACUGCAUUUGAAACUGUUUUUCUUGAGUACCGGAGAGGUCAUCGGAAUGCGUGGUGUAGCGGUGAAAUGCGUAGAUAUAAGGAAGAACACCAGUGGCGAAGGCGGAUGACUGGACGGCAACUGACGGUGAGGCGCGAAAGCGUGGGGAGCAAACAGGAUUAGAUACCCGUGUAGUC
rnacentral:rRNA from 1 species